rnacentral:lncRNA from 1 species
CAAAGAGAGAGAGCGAGAGGUAAGUGACAAAGAGAGAGAGCGAGAGGUAAGUGACAAAUACAGAGAGCAAGAGGUAAGAGACAAAGAGAGAGAGCAAGAUGUAAGAGCGAGGGGUAAGAGACAAAGUUAGAUAAAGCGAGCAAGAGGUAAGAGACAAAGCGAGAGAUGAGAGACAAAGGUAAGAGACAAAGAGAGAGAGAGAGCUAAGAGACAAGGAGAGACAGAGCGAGAGGUAAGAGACAAAGAGAGAGAGAGCGAGAGGUAAGAGACAAAGAUAGAUAGAGUGAGAGAGAGCGAGAGGUAAGAGACAAAGCGAGAGAGCGAGAGGUAAGAGACAAAGCGAGAGAGCGAGAGGUCAGAGACAAAGAGAGAGAGCGAGAGGUAAGUGACAAAGAGAGAGAGCGAGAGGUAAGUGACAAAUACAGAGAGCAAGAGGUAAGAGACAAAGAGAGGGAGCAAGAUGUAAGAGAGAGAGAGAGAGAUGUAAGAGAGAGAGAGAGAGGUAAGAGACAAAGAGAGAUAGAGCAAGAGAUAAGAGAAAAAGAGAGAUAGAGCGAGAGGUAAGAGACAAAGGGAGAGAGAGAGGUAAGAGCAAAGGGAGAUUGAGCGACAGGUAAGAGACAAAGGGAGAUAGAGUGAGAGGUAAGACACAAAGAGAGAUAGAGCGAGAGGUAAGAGACAAAGAGAGAGAGCGAGAGGUAAGAGACAAGAGAGAUAGAGCGAGAGGUAAAAGACAAAGACCUAGAGCGAGAGAGAGUGAGAGGUAAGAGACAAGAGAGAGAGACCGAAAGCAAGAGAGAGAGGUAAGAGACAAAGAGAGAUAGAGCAAGAGAGGUAAGAGAAAAAGAGAGAGCGAGAGAGAGGUAAG